GUACCUGUGCCGGGUGGAGGAGAUGCGCCAGUCCCUGAGAAUUAUCGCACAGUGUCUAAACAAGAUGCCUCCUGGGGAGAUCAAGGUUGAUGAUGCCAAAGUGUCUCCACCUAAGCGAGCAGAGAUGAAGAGAUGGGGUUUCACUCUGUUGGCCAGGCUGGUCUUGAACACCUGACCUCUUGAUCUGCCCACCUCAGCCUCCCAAACUGCUGGAAUUACAAGCACUUCCAUGGAGUCACUGAUUCAUCACUUUAAGUUGUAUACUGAGGGCUACCAAGUUCCUCCAGGAGCCACAUAUACUGCCAUUGAGGCUCCCAAGGGAGAGUUUGGGGUGUACCUGGUGUCUGAUGGCAGCAGCCGCCCUUAUCGAUGCAAGAUCAAGGCUCCUGGUUUUGCCCAUCUGGCUGGUUUGGACAAGAUGUCUAAGGGACACAUGUUGGCAGAUGUCGUUGCCAUCAUAGGUACGAGGCCUAUUGUGUAGUAGAGGUAUCCUAGACAAAGGAGUUCGGGACACCCACUGGGGACAGAAGGAGAACACUUCCUGUUCACCAUAGGCCAUGGCAUGGACUCGGGUCCUCAAUCUUUUGAGCACAGUAAUGGGUUCUGGAUCUUGGGUAACACCACUUUUUUUGUUUGUUUUGCCUCACAACAGGAAGAUAAGUAACAUCACUUUUUUCCUCCAUCCUCUCACCUAGGUACCCAAGAUAUUGUAUUUGGAGAAGUAGAUCGGUGAGCAGGGGAGCAGCGUUUGAUCCCCCCUGCCUAUCAGCUUCUUCUGUGGAGCCUGUCCCUCACUGGAAAUUGGCCUCUGUGUGUGUGUGUGUGUGUGUGUGUGUGUGUGUAUGUUCAUGUACACUUGGCUGUCAGGCUUUCUGUGCAUGUACUAAAAAAGGAGAAAUUA
rnacentral:sRNA from 1 species